GCAGCCAGCCGGGCGGCCGCGGCCCCUCAUGGGGCUGAGGAAGGUCCGGGCUCCGCAGGGCAGGGUGCUGGGUAACCCCCAGGCCGGGCGACCGGUGGAAAGUGCAACAGAAAGCAGACCGCCGGAUCGGACGCCUUCCAAGGCGAGAUCCGGUAAGGGUGAAACGGUGCGGUAAGAGCGCACCAGCGCCGGAGGUAACUCCGGCGGCUCGGCAAACCCCACCCGGAGCAAGACCGAGCAGGGGACAUGGAGUGGCCCGCUUCAACCGCCCCGGGUAGGUCGCUAGAGGCCGGCGGUAACGCCGGUCCCAGAUGGAUGGCCGCCCCUCCUUCGGGAGGACAGAACCCGGCCUAUAGGCUGACUGCGGCA
rnacentral:RNase_P_RNA from 1 species